GAUGAACGCUGGCGGCGUGCCUAAUACAUGCAAGUCGAGCGAACAGACGAGGAGCUUGCUCCUCUGACGUUAGCGGCGGACGGGUGAGUAACACGUGGAUAACCUACCUAUAAGACUGGGAUAACUUCGGGAAACCGGAGCUAAUACCGGAUAAUAUAUUGAACCGCAUGGUUCAAUAGUGAAAGACGGUUUUGCUGUCACUUAUAGAUGGAUCCGCGCCGCAUUAGCUAGUUGGUAAGGUAACGGCUUACCAAGGCAACGAUGCGUAGCCGACCUGAGAGGGGGAACGGCCACACUGGAACUGAGACACGGUCCAGACUCCUACGGGAGGCAGCAGUAGGGAAUCUUCCGGAAUGGGCGAAAGCCUGACGGAGCAACGCCGCGUGAGUGAUGAAGGUCUUCGGAUCCUAAAACUCUGUUAUUAGGGAAGAAAAAAUGUGUAAGUAACUAUGCACGUCUUGACGGUACCUAAUCAGAAAGCCACGGCUAACUACGUG
rnacentral:rRNA from 1 species